AGUUCGAUUAUGGCUCAGAUUGAACGCUGGCGGGAUGCUUUACACAUGCAAGUCGAACGGCAGCACGGACUUCGGUCUGGUGGCGAGUGGCGAACGGGUGAGUAAUGUAUCGGAACGUGCCUAGUAGCGGGGGAUAACUACGCGAAAGCGUAGCUAAUACCGCAUACGCCCUUCGGGGGAAAGCGGGGACCGGCUCGCACUAUUAGAGCGGCCGAUAUCGGAUUAGCUAGUUGGUGGGGUAACGGCUCACCAAGGCGACGAUCCGUAGCUGGUUUGAGAGGACGACCAGCCACACUAGACGAGACUAUGCCAGACUCUCCGUACGGAGGCGGGCAGUAGAAUUUUGACAAUGGAACUUCGAUCCAGCCAUCCGCGUGGCAUAUGCCCUUCGUUAAAAAAGCACUUUGCAGGAAGAAACGGCACUGGAUAAUAUCCCGUGCACUGACUCUGUACUGCAGAUGAAAACCGGCUAACUACGCCAUAGUGCCGCGGUAUCGGGUAUGUUGCCCUGAAUUAUUGGGCAGCGUGCAGGCGUCAGAAAGGUGAGGAAUCCCAGAGCGUAACUUUGAACUGCAUUAACUACCAGUAUUAGAGUGUGCCGAGGGAGUAGUAAUCAUAUGGCAGUAAGAAAUGUGGCAUGCAUAGAACACCGACAGCAGCGAGCCUGGACAAACACUGACGUCUGCAAAACGUAGCAGAGCAACAGCGAUUAGAUACCCUGGUAGUCCACGCCCUAAACGAUGUCAACUAGCUGUUAGCCUUCGGCCUCGGUAGCGCAGCUAAUCGCGUGAAGUUGACCGCCUGGGGAGUACGGUCGCAAAGAUUAAAACUCAGCGAAUUGACGGGGACCCGCACAAGCGGAUGAUGUGGAUUAAUUCGAUGCAACGCGAAAAACCUUACCUACCCUUGAUAUGUCUGAACCUGAAGAGAUUUGGGAGUGCUCGCAAGAGAACCGGAACACAGGUGCUGCAUGGCUGUCGUCAGCUCGUGUCGUGAGAUGUUGGGUUAAGUCCUGCUUAACGAGCGCAACCCCUUGUCAUUAGUUGCUACGAAAGGGGCACUCUAAUGAGACUGCCGGUGACAAACCGGAGGAAGGUGGGGAUGGCCGGUUCCUCAUGGCCCUUAUGGGUAGGGCUUCACACGUCAUACAAUGGUCGGGACAGAGGGUCGCCAACCCGCGAGGGGGAGCCAAUCCCAGAAACCCGAUCGUAGUCCGGAUCGCAGUCUGCAACUCGACUGCGUGAAGUCGGAAUCGCUAGUAAUCGCGGAUCAGCAUGUCGCGGUGAAUACGUUCCCGGGUCUUGUACACACCGCCCGUCACACCAUGGGAGUGGGUUUUACCAGAAGUAGUUAGCCUAACCGUAAGGAGGGCGAUUACCACGGUAGGAUUCAUGACUGGGGUGAAGUCGUAACAAGGUAG
rnacentral:rRNA from 1 species